rnacentral:misc_RNA from 1 species
AAAGAUCGCAGCCUUCGGCAGCUCCUACAGGUUUAUGCGUUCCACCUGUAGGAGCUGCCGAAGGCUGCGAUCUUU